GUGUUGCACGUGUUGAUGAUCGUUUGGUUUAUCCGCUUCCGGAUCCUUCCCACCGCGUCCUCAUCCCCUAUCCCAUUUGAUUUGUUCGAAAUUUCAGAUGAGCAUCAUGUUUUCUUUCAUGUUCUCUACCUUUGCUCUUGCCGACGGCUGUUUCUUCGGCUUCAAUUUCAUCAUCGGGCAACACAAAAAAAGCAGCGUUCAUGUUGGUUGUUCGAUUGCUCUGUUUGAUUUAUUCGAAAUUUCAGAUGAGCAUCAGAUUUUCUUCCAUGUUCUCUACCUUUGCUCUUGCCUUCGGCUGUUUCUUCGGCUUCGAUUUCAUCAUCGGGCAACACAAAAAAAAUCAGUGUUCAUGUUGGUUGUUCGAUUGUUGUCUGAAAUGUGAGACAGAUGAUUUUGGGUUCAACAACCAUUUAAUCAGGUAACGCCGACCACCCUCUUCGACGUGCUCACAGCCCUUCGUUUUCGUCUCCUCUCUCAAUUGCCCAUUGUGAAGGCCUUCUGUCACAAUCCCUAUUAUGGCCCGAUUUUGGGUUCAUCAAACAUUUACCAGCCAGCUUAAUUUUAUCAGUUGCUGCAAACGUGAUUCAGUGCUUUCUCUUCGAUUUUCGCUUCCUAUCAGAUUCUGAAACUGAUUGUCGACGCCAAAUCAAAGUUGAAGGUUAGGGCUUUUUUCUUUUGCUGGAUUAUGGCUUAAUCUUCUUACAAAAGUUAACAAAUGUCUCAGUUUCAGGUCAUUCUGAUAUCUUAUGCUCUUUUUUUUCAGUAAGUAAUCAUAGAUUUUCUUCUUGUGUAAGUAGUUUUGUAGUUGUUUAUUGAUGAUUUGAUGAAAUUCAAUGUUGAAAAAAGGUCAUAUAACCUGAACAAUGUGAUGAGUUGAAAUUUGCAUGAGUUGUAUGUGAAUCACUGAAUUGUACACAAAAGAGUUGACUUGAAUUAAGUAUACAUACAUACCACCAACAUGUUUUGAAUAAAAUAUGAAACAUGUGUUUAGAUUUUUUUGAAUUUACAUGAGUUGUAUGGAACUUAUCUAUUAACAUUAUUGUUUUGUGGGUCUCAAUUGUUAAUUAUUCUCAUAUCGUUCAAGUAAAAUGUUAUUUGUCGACAUACACGAUUAGAUAUAAAAUUUUUUUAAUGAAAACUACAAAAAAAAUACUUUUGAAUAAGAAACACUUUAUCUUUUGAACUUUAUUAAGUAAAUUACUACUUUCAUAUCUUAGACUAUUAUUUGUUUUGUAGUUUAAUUAUAUUCGUUCUUCUCUAUGUGUGAUGACAUGGAACUCUAAAUCUCUAUCGAUUUCUGUUUAUUAAGAAGUAAUUUGUGUUUUCUUCUUUCUUCUUUCUUCUCCAUGUGUGAUGGUUACUCUAGCAUACACUUAUAGGUGAGAUUUUGCUAUUUUUUGUGGAAUUGAAGUUAUCUGUACAUUGUUGAUUGUUGAUUCCUCAAUCACCAUUCAUCUCCACCACAAAAACCCUCAACACACAUCCAUUUUCGGACACCAUUUGGAAAUGAAAGCUAGCACUUUAACCAGCAACAUCUACUCGACUUAAUCCCACCUGACAGGCACCAAAAUCUACGCAAGUUUCUGAAUAUCUUUUCCCUUUCAUCCUGUAUUGUUAUUAGUUUGUUUCCAAAUGGAAUCGAAUCAUCUUUUGCUUCUAAAUAUGGAGUUGAUUUUGAUUAAAUCUUGCAAAGUGUGGUUGUACAAGGUUACCAAAAGACUGUUUGUGUGUGUCGAUCUUUGCAGAGGCAAUGGCAAUUACAAGGAUACAAGAUCGAAGAUACUGAAAUUGGGUUUAUACUGAAUAAUCAAGGUUUAUAACUUCAUUAUUUAUGAUUUCAUAUCAUCAAAAUAUAUUGAUUCUGAAGAAUCUAGGUUUAUAACUUCAUCAUUUAGGAUACAUGUACUGAUGUACGAAGAAUUAUGUAUUUUAGAUGCUUAAAAAUCAACAUCUACCGAAUCUUUUUAGAUGAUUGUGAUACAGAUGAUGACACCAUUGGAAAUUAUAAAUGUCGUUACUAGAUCGAAUUCUACACCAAAAGAAAGUAAGUUGGGUUAAAAAGGUCCAACAUACUACACCGUGGAUGUUAUGUUGCCUCUUUUUAGAAAGCAGUUGUUUGUUGGUGGUCUGGAUAUCAACAUUGCAGCUUAUGACAGGUAAAGUUGUACCUUUUCUGUAUUUAUCUACUUAUUUUCCUUAGGUGUUGUGAAAUUUGUUUACUUUGUUAGCUCAGUUGUUAUUUGCAUACUAGCAACUAUUCUUGAACAGAUUUCACAAAGUGCUUUAAGCGUUUGAUUUCGUUUAUCUGAGAGUUGAGAUAUAUAACAUAUAGGAGCUUGGGAAAAGGUUCUUAAUCUUGGAAAUGUAACUCAUUUUCCAACAAUUAAAAAUAUUUGGUUCGAGUUUUUGUGAAUAAUCAUAUUAACCUAAAACAGGGAAGAAGAAUGGUUGGGAUCUGAAGAGACAGCUUUUUAUAUAAGUUUUUUCAGGUUUGCAGAAGAAAGAAACAAAAUCUGGAUUUGAGGUAAGGAUCUUUGUCUUUUUGUAAGAAUAAGAUGUGCUUUCAUUUAAUGAGUUUUGGUUUACUUGCAUAUUUGACAAAGGAUAAGACCAAAUUAUUGAGUUAAUGUAAAAAAAAGAUCAUGUUUUGAUGAAGGUUUGAACAAUUAAGUUUUCAUAUAAUUUUAAUUUUUAUUUAUUGGUUGAUGGUUGCAAAAUUGCUAAGCAGAUUCAAUGUCAAGUGUCUUGGGCUGAACAUGAGAACAAAUUGUAUUACUUUCUAUUUUCAUAUUUGAUUUUUUAUGUCUUCUGUUUCU